UGAACGCUAGCUACAGGCUUAACACAUGCAAGUCGAGGGGCAUCAGGAAGAAAGCUUGCUUUCUUUGCUGGCGACCGGCGCACGGGUGAGUAACACGUAUCCAACCUGCCCUUUACUCGGGGAUAGCCUUUCGAAAGAAAGAUUAAUACCCGAUAGCAUAAUGAUUCCGCAUGGUUUCAUUAUUAAAGGAUUCCGGUAAAGGAUGGGGAUGCGUUCCAUUAGGUUGUUGGUGAGGUAACGGCUCACCAAGCCUUCGAUGGAUAGGGGUUCUGAGAGGAAGGUCCCCCACAUUGGAACUGAGACACGGUCCAAACUCCUACGGGAGGCAGCAGUGAGGAAUAUUGGUCAAUGGGCGCUAGCCUGAACCAGCCAAGUAGCGUGAAGGAUGAAGGCUCUAUGGGUCGUAAACUUCUUUUAUAUAAGAAUAAAGUGCAGUAUGUAUACUGUUUUGUAUGUAUUAUAUGAAUAAGGAUCGGCUAACUCCGUGCCAGCAGCCGCGGUAAUACGGAGGAUCCGAGCGUUAUCCGGAUUUAUUGGGUUUAAAGGGAGCGUAGGUGGACUGGUAAGUCAGUUGUGAAAGUUUGCGGCUCAACCGUAAAAUUGCAGUUGAUACUGUCAGUCUUGAGUACAGUAGAGGUGGGCGGAAUUCGUGGUGUAGCGGUGAAAUGCUUAGAUAUCACGAAGAACUCCGAUUGCGAAGGCAGCUCACUGGACUGCAACUGACACUGAUGCUCGAAAGUGUGGGUAUCAAACAGGAUUAGAUACCCUGGUAGUCCACACAGUAAACGAUGAAUACUCGCUGUUUGCGAUAUACAGUAAGCGGCCAAGCGAAAGCAUUAAGUAUUCCACCUGGGGAGUACGCCGGCAACGGUGAAACUCAAAGGAAUUGACAGGGGCCCGCACAAGCGGAGGAACAUGUGGUUUAAUUCGAUGAUACGCGAGGAACCUUACCCGGGCUUAAAUUGCAGUGGAAUGAUGUGGAAACAUGUCAGUGAGCAAUCACCGCUGUGAAGGUGCUGCAUGGUUGUCGUCAGCUCGUGCCGUGAGGUGUCGGCUUAAGUGCCAUAACGAGCGCAACCCUUAUCUUUAGUUACUAACAGGUCAUGCUGAGGACUCUAGAGAGACUGCCGUCGUAAGAUGUGAGGAAGGUGGGGAUGACGUCAAAUCAGCACGGCCCUUACGUCCGGGGCUACACACGUGUUACAAUGGGGGGUACAGAAGGCAGCUAGCGGGUGACCGUAUGCUAAUCCCAAAAGCCUCUCUCAGUUCGGAUCGAAGUCUGCAACCCGACUUCGUGAAGCUGGAUUCGCUAGUAAUCGCGCAUCAGCCACGGCGCGGUGAAUACGUUCCCGGGCCUUGUACACACCGCCCGUCAAGCCAUGGGAGCCGGGGGUACCUGAAGUACGUAACCGCAAGGAUCGUCCUAGGGUAAAACUGGUGACUGGGGC
rnacentral:rRNA from 1 species